GGUCGUGUCGUGCUGGCUCCGGAGCACUCCGCGUAGUGGUGUGUCCAACUGGUGUCCCCAGUAAAGCGUGUGCCCUGCGUAGAUCUUUCAGCUUUCCAGCUUUAACGCGACUGAACUACGCGCAAGUGAUAUAUUAAGUAUCCAGUCCAGCUACCAGCAGGGCGGCUAGAUCAGCGAUGGUCAAUUCUGCGUUCGAUCUUCGGUCAUUGUAGCGUUGAGCAAACAUAAUCUUGAGACGCCCAGUUUCCGUUCGGAAGUAUUAAACAGCGCAAAGAAAGCCAAUAAAUAACGGUCCAUUAGGGCUACGAUGUAACACAUCAAAAAGUUUUGUGCGUCGGGGUACGGGAAACUCUUCCUGGCGCUUAAUCUAAUUAGCAGCCGCAUUGCUUCCUCGCUGCCCGGCUGGCUAAGCAGUGCCCGCCAGGUUUCGCUGAAGCUGGCCCGUUUUCGGUAGUGAAGCUACCAGAGGCCUAGAGGACGGAACCUUCAUUGGGAU